rnacentral:rRNA from 1 species
GAUGAACGCUAGCGGGAGGCCUAACACAUGCAAGCCGAGCGGUAUUGUUUCUUCGGAAAUGAGAGAGCGGCGUACGGGUGCGGAACACGUGUGCAACCUGCCUUUAUCUGGGGGAUAGCCUUUCGAAAGGAAGAUUAAUACUCCAUAACAUAUUGAUUGGCAUCAAUUAAUAUUGAAAGCUCCGGCGGAUAGAGAUGGGCACGCGCAAGAUUAGCUAGUUGGUGAGGUAACGGCUCACCAAGGCGAUGAUCUUUAGGGGGCCUGAGAGGGUGAUCCCCCACACUGGUACUGAGACACGGACCAGACUCCUACGGGAGGCAGCAGUGAGGAAUAUUGGUCAAUGGGUGCAAGCCUGAACCAGCCAUCCCGCGUGAAGGACGACUGCCCUAUGGGUUGUAAACUUCUUUUGUAUAGGGAUAAACCUACCCUCGUGAGGGUAGCCGAAGGUACUAUACGAAUAAGCACCGGCUAACUCCGUGCCAGCCGCCGCGGUAAUAC